CCUACGGGUGGCUGCAGUAAGGAAUAUUGGACAAUGGGCGGGAGCCUGAUCCAGCCAUGCCGCGUGAAGGAUGAAGGCGCUCAGCGUUGUAAACUUCUUUUGGACGGGAACAAUAUCCCCGACUUGUCGGGGCUUGAGGGUACCGUCAGAAUAAGCACCGGCUAACUCCGUGCCAGCAGCCGCGGUAAUACGGAGGGUGCAAGCGUUAUCCGGAAUCACUGGGUUUAAAGGGUGCGUAGGCGGUCUUGUAAGUCAGUCGUGAAAUCGCUGGGCUC
rnacentral:rRNA from 1 species